UACAUAGGGUGCAAGCGUUGUUCGGAAUUAUUGGGAGUAAAGAGUGUGUAGGCGGCUUUGUAAGUUGGGUGUGAAAGCCCUCAGCUCAACUGAGGAAGUGCGCCCGAAACUGCAGAGCUUGAGUGCCGGAGAGGGUGGCGGAAUUCCCCAAGUAGAGGUGAAAUUCGUAGAUAUGGGGAGGAACACCGGUGGCGAAGGCGGCCACCUGGACGGUAACUGACGCUGAGACGCGAAAGCGUGGGGAGCAAACAGG
rnacentral:rRNA from 1 species